rnacentral:rRNA from 1 species
ACGAACGCUGGCGGCAUGCCUAACACAUGCAAGUCGAACGAACCCUUCGGGGUGAGUGGCGCACGGGUGCGUAACGCGUGGGAACCUGCCCUAAGGUUCGGAAUAACACAGAGAAAUUUGUGCUAAUACCGGAUGAUGUCGAAAGACCAAAGAUUUAUCGCCUUUGGAUGGGCCCGCGUUGGAUUAGCUAGUUGGUGGGGUAAAGGCCUACCAAGGCGACGAUCCAUAGCUGGUCUGAGAGGAUGAUCAGCCACACUGGGACUGAGACACGGCCCAGACUCCUACGGGAGGCAGCAGUGGGGAAUAUUGGACAAUGGGCGAAAGCCUGAUCCAGCAAUGCCGCGUGAGUGAUGAAGGCCCUAGGGUUGUAAAGCUCUUUUACCCGAGAUGAUAAUGACAGUAUCGGGAGAAUAAGCUCCGGCUAACUCCGU